GUCUACGGCCAUGCUACCCUGAACAAGCCUGAUCUUGUCUGACUUUGGAAGCUAAGCAGGGUCGGGUCUGGAUAGUACUUGGAUGAGAGAUCACCUAGGAAGACCAGGUGCUGUAGGUA
rnacentral:rRNA from 1 species